rnacentral:rRNA from 1 species
AUGCUCGUUCUUAAGAAAAAUGACACUUGGCGCAUGUGUGUGGACUACACAGAUUUAAACAAGGCUUGCCCUGCAGACCCCUUUGCUCUCCCUCGCAUUGAUCAGAUAAUUGAUGCUACGGCGGGUUGUGACCGUUUGUGUUUUUUGGAUGCUUACUCUGGUUAUCAUCAGAUCAAAAUAGCAGUUAAGGACCAGGAGAAGACAGCCUUCAUAACUCCCUUUGGAGCCUUCCGCUAUGUUUCCAUGCCCUUUGGACUCAAGAGUGCCCAGGCAACUUACCAGCGAUGUGUUCAGAAUUGCCUUCAUAAGCAAAUUGGGCGCAAUGUUCAUGCGUAUGUGGAUGAUAUUGUGGUCAAAUCCAGAAAGGAGGAGACAUUGAUAGAUGAUCUACGGGAAACCUUUGACAAUCUCCGGGUUUACAAGAUGAUGCUCAAUCCGGAGAAAUGUGUUUUCGGUGUCCCGGUAGGCAAGCUCUUAGGUUUUCUGGUUUCAAACAGAGGCAUUGAGGCUAAUCCGGAAAAGAUUGCAGUAAUUACGUCCUUGGCUAAACCGGCGUGUAUUAAAGAUGUGCAACGUCUGGCCGACCGGAUUACAGCCUUGAGCCGAUUUAUCAGCCGCCUUGGAGAGAAGGCCAUCCCCUUAUAUCAGAUGCUCAAGAAAACAGAUAACUCUGUCUGGAGUGAGCCAGCUGAUAAGGCGUUUGAAGAUCUGAAGAGGCAGCUAGUGGAAUCGCCCGUGCUGGCAGCACCGGUCGAUAAAGAGCCAUUAUUAUUAUAUGUGGCUGCUAAUGCCCGGGCUGUCAGCGUAGCCAUUAUGGUAGAGCGCAAGGAGCCAGGGAAAGAGUAUCUGGUUCAACGGCCGGUUUAUUAUAUCAGUGAGGUGCUCAUUGAGUCAAAGCAGAGGUAUCCACAUUGGCAGAAACUGGUGUAUGGGGUGUUUAUGGCAACCCGGAAGCUCAAACACUAUUUUCAGGGCCAUCCUAUCAUAGUGGUCAGUUCAGCCCCUCUGGGUGACAUCAUUUAA